ACAUUAAACAAUAAAUAUAAAUAAGAAAAACACUUUGUUUGUUUCAGAAAUUGUGUAUAUAUUUUGAUGAUAUCGUUGCGAUUUUUACACAAUUAUCAACACAUCAACAGUACCACAAAUACUUUUUAUAGUGAUGUAAUGGUCGGAACAAUAUCGUCAUGAUACAAAAUGUGUUUUAUUAUUUAUAAUUGUUUAAUUCAAGUACAAAAUUAACAAAUUUUUUUAUUGUGAUGGAACUUUUGGCUGUUUGUUUUACAUUUUCAGAUUUAAACAUUCAUCUUUGACUGUUUCACUUUGUAAUUUGUUUCUUUUAAUGAAUAAGAUUAAACCAACAAUCCGCCAAUUAAGACGUUCUCGUGGCUGAGUUCUGGGAUAACGAUGGAGCCAUCAUCACCAUUGGGACCUGGUACAUCCGAGCAUGGAUCUUCGCCAUCCGUCCGAGGACCGUAGUGGAUCGCGUGUGUCGGGUCGGGAGUGUUCUGGUGCGUCCGAAUUCGAACUCGGAAGCGUCCAACCCUCGGAAUCUCGGAUGUUCCGAGAUCCUGAGUUUUGGAAACUUCGGAAUUCGAAUCUCAGGACCUCCAAAACUAUGAAUCCCCUUUCGGGAUUCAUUUUUUUGGAGAUCUUGAGUUUCGCAUUGCGAAGUUCCCGAAACUCAGCAUCUCGGGACUUCCAAAUUUCGAGUGUUGGAUACUUUCAAGUUCAAAUUUGGAUGCACCAAUCGCCGGGCCUUGUCCCGGACGGUCUUCGAAUAAGCAAAACAUAACUUACUAAACCUGGUAGGCGUGAAAAAUUCAUUUUUGUCCUUUUUUUUUAAAUAAAUAAAAAACAUUUUUAAGGUUUA